CACGAUUUAACACUACUCUUUUCUUCAACUGCCUCAACACUUUUGAAAAUUCAGAUGAGGGCAAGGACUACAUUGGGAGUGAAAUUCUGCUACAGAAAUGGGUAAUGUAAAGGUUUUUCAGCAUCACUGAUUGGUGAGAAAGAGCUGUUAUCCCCAUACUAUGAUGGGAAAAUUGAGCAUGUCUACAUUGCAGAACACCAGACACAAAUGAGCACCUCUGCCAGCAGAAGCCAUCUCACACAGUGCUGGAGUGAGAAUGAGUAGAAAGGAACAGAGUGCGAAGAGAAGAAUAAGAUAAAAAUGGAAAGCAGAAAUCCUGAGCUGGCCCCACUGAACAACGUGUUCAAACAGCUCUCACACCAACCUCAACUGAGAGAGUGGAUUUUAAAUAAAUAAAUAAAUAAAUAAAAC
rnacentral:lncRNA from 7 species